UAAUGCCCUGUAUCAUACAUAGCAAUGUCUCAACCCUAAGCUGAUCAGGCUUGGGUUUGGAGACCAGGCAAGGACCAUGGGAGAUCACUUGCAACCAGGAGCUGAUCAGGCUCAUACCAGAUGGGAGGCAACAGACAACAGACAACUCUCAUUACAGAAUUACAGAACUAUGGGGUUGCAGAGCUACAGUUACAGGAUGCUCAAUUCAACUUGAAAGAGAUGACCGGGAUUGCUGGAGCUGAACGCAGGACUCUAACAGGCAAAUGGAAUCUUUGGGUAACAAGUGGUCUGCUCUUAAGAUCUUGGAAAUGUCAAUGAAACCCUGGGAGAUUUGAUGAACGUGAUGAGCAGAAGAUCUCAGCAGAAGUCUUUUAAAGUGGGAGAUCUGUACAGCACAGUCAAGGAGCUGUUCAAGCUGUUCAAGGUGGUCCCCCCCGCCCCUGCCCCGGGCUCAGUAUGUUCCCAGAGGAAAAAGCCUGGCAAUGAGCACCUGGUGCCCACUGUUCAUGCCACUAUCACCCAGUUCAAUAGUGUGGUCAACUGCGUCAUCACCACCUUCCUUGGGAAUGUGAACAUGAUGGCCUAGGCCAGGGCCAGGGUGGUAGAAUACUGGAUCAAUGUGGCCAAGGACUGCCAAAUCUCCAGGAACCUCUCUGCACGACAUCUUCUGUGCUCUGCAGAACGCCCGAGUUCACUGACUGAAGACACCAUGGGGGAACAUUUCCAGUAACAGAACUUUAUGUCCAGUUGAAACUCAAACUGGUCAAAACAGAGGUGCUCAAGAGAAAAGUGAAUGGAGGAGGCCCAGAGGACCAACAUGAGAGUUCCUGCCCCCCUCCCACAGACACCUUUGUGCUCAG